AAGUUAUAUUAAAAAAAUUAAUUAAAACCAUAGGAGAAUAGUUUAUUGAAAGAGAAUAAAAAAUAAAUCUUUUUAAAUCGAAAACGAUUAUUAUAAAAGAACUGAAACAUCUUAGUAUAAUAUAAAGAAUCGAAUGAAAGUAGUGGCGAACGAAAUCAUUCUUAUAAUUAAUAUCAUUGAUUAAACAAAAUUUAAAAAUAUUCUACCUAUAGAAAAAGUACUGUGAAGGAAAUAAAAAAAUAAUUAAUUUAAAUAAGUGUAUGACACUUACCUUUUGUAUAAUGGGUUUACAAGAAAAAUAAUUAGCAAGCUAAAAGGCAAAAAGAAAUUAAAAAAGUUAAUUUUACCCGAAACCAAACGAUCUAAUUGUGAACAACUUUAUGAGUGAACUAGUAAAUGUUGAAAAAUUUUAGAUGAUUUGCAAUUAGCAGCGAAAAACUAAACGAGUUUGGAUAUAGCUGGUUCUCUAUGAAAAUUAUAUAAGUAAGACAUUAAUAUUUUAAUAGUCAGACAUUUAGUGAAAACAUUAUCUGUCAAAAGGAAAACAAUCCUCAUCAGAAAUUAAUAUUCUAAAUAUAAAAAUAUGAAAACAGUUAAUCAUUUACACAAUAAAAAAUAGGCCUAGAAACCGUCAAAUUUUAUAGAGUACGUAAUAGUUUAUUUAAUAAAAGAUUUAACUAUAAAAUAAAGUAUUUUUGUAAUAAAAAUUCUGAAUUUAAAAAGUAAUAGAGUAUUCUACAAAAAACAAAGAAAUUUGUAGAAAAAAUAAUGUAAACAUGAUUAUUAUAAAAUUUAUUCCUAAAUUUUCUUAUUUUACAAAAUGAAUAAGGUAAUACAGAACCUCAGUAUAAAAGGGUAACAAUUAAUUUUAUCGAGAAAAUCUAAUAAAAUAAUCUGUAAAAUCUCAAUCAAGAAGGAAUAUAAAAAGUAUACAUUCUUUUUAAGGAACUCGGCAAAAUGAAUAUCGACUGUUUACCAAAAACAUAGCCCUAGAUAAUAUCUAAGGUGUAACCUGCCCAAUGAUCUUAAAAUUAAAAUUCAUAAAAGUUAUUUAAUAAGAUUUAAAGGACGCAGUAACCUUGACUGUGAUAAUGUAGCAUAAUCAUUCGCCAUUUAAUUGAUGGAUAGUAUGAAUGGUUGAACGAAUAUUCCACUGUCUUAAAAAGAAAUACCAAAAAAUUGAAAUAAUAGUUAAGAUGCUAUUUAAAAUUGUAAGACGAAAAGACCCUAUAGAGCUUAACUAUAACCUCUUUUUAAAAAUAGAAAAUAAUUUCAAAUAUAGAGAGGUUGGUAGUUUAGUUGGGGCGACUAUCUUCUAAAUUUAACGAAGAGAAGCAAAGUUAAUAAAAAAAACUUAUUGUAUAAUAAAUUAAUUUAACAAUUACAAAAGUAGGCUAUAAUGACCCGUUAUAAAUAUAUAAAAAUUAUAACGAUCAAUAAAUAAAAGCUACCUUAGGGAUAACAGGAUAAUUUUAUUCUAGAGAUCAUAUCGAAAAUGAAGUUUGUCACCUCUAUGUUGAAUUAAGAUAUCCUGACAAUGCAGAAGUUGUCAAAGGUAGGUCUGUUCGACCUUUAAAAUCUUACAUGA
rnacentral:rRNA from 1 species